UACGUAGGGGGCGAGCGUUGUCCGGAUUUAUUGGGCGUAAAGAGCUCGUAGGCGGUCUGUCGCGUCUGCUGUGAAAACUCGGGGCUUAACCCCGGGCCUGCAGUGGGUACGGGCAGACUAGAGUGCGGUAGGGGAGACUGGAAUUCCUGGUGUAGCGGUGAAAUGCGUAGAUAUCGGGAGGAACACCAGUGGCGAAGGCGGCUUCCUGGCCUGUUCUUGACGCUGAGGCGCGAAAGCUAGGGGAGCAAACGGG
rnacentral:rRNA from 1 species